GACGGGCCCGCACAAGCAGCGGAGCGUGUGGUUUAAUUCGAUGUUACACGAAGAACCUUACCAGGGUUUGACAUGCAAGUGGUAGGAAGCCCGAAAGGUGACCGACCUUCGGGGAGCUUGCACAGGUGCUGCAUGGCUGUCGUCAGCUCGUGUCGUGAGAUGUUCGGUUAAGUCCGCUAACGAGCGCAACCCUCGCUGUGUGUUAUAUGUGUCACACGGGACUGCCGGUCUUAAGCCGGAGGAAGGUGGGAUGAUGUCAAGUCAGCAUGGCCUUUAUAUCCUGGGCUACACACACGCUACAAUGGUCGGUACAAUGGGUCGCCAAGCCGCGAGGCGGAGCCAAUCCUCCAAAACCGGCCUCAGUUCAGAUUGUAGGCUGCAACUCGCCUGCAUGAAGUUGGAGUUGCUAGUAACCGCGCGUCAGCUAUAGUGCGGUGAAUACGUUCCCGGGGCUU
rnacentral:rRNA from 1 species